rnacentral:rRNA from 1 species
CCUACGGGCGGCAGCAGUGAGGAAUAUUGGUCAAUGGACGAGAGUCUGAACCAGCCAAGUAGCGUGAAGGAUGACUGCCCUAUGGGUUGUAAACUUCUUUUAUAAAGGAAUAAAACGAGGCACGUGUGCCUUUUUGCAUGUACUUUAUGAAUAAGGAUCGGCUAACUCCGUGCCAGCAGCCGCGGUAAUACGGAGGAUCCGAGCGUUAUCCGGAUUUAUUGGGUUUAAAGGGAGCGUAGAUGGGUUGUUAAGUCAGUUGUGAAAGUUUGCGGCUCAACCGUAAAAUUGCAAUUGAUACUGGCAGUCGUGAGUACAGUUGAGGUAGGCGGAAUGCGUGGUGUAGCGGUGAAAUGCUUAGAUAUCACGAAGAACCCCGAUUGCGAAGGCAGCUUACUAAACUGUGACUGACAUUGAUGCUCGAAAGUGUGGGUAUCAAACAGGAUUAGAUACCCGUGUAGUC